rnacentral:rRNA from 1 species
UACGUAGGUGGCAAGCGUUGUCCGGAUUUAUUGGGUUUAAAGGGUGCGUAGGCGGUCUUAUAAGUCAGUGUUGAAAUAUCCCGGCUUAACCGGGAGGGUGGCAUUGAUACUGUAGGACUUGAGUAGAGUUGAGGUUGGCGGAAUUGACGGUGUAGCGGUGAAAUGCUUAGAUAUCGUCAAGAACACCGAUAGUGAAGACAGCUAACUAAGCUCUAACUGACGCUGAGGCACGAAAGCGUGGGGAGCAAACAGG